UCAUUUGGCUGUCUCAAAAACUCGCACGAACUGCAAGUAGCAGAGAAUUCCACAUCCAUGUGAUGUUGCGAGAUGCCCAAACGGUCCACCCCACUUGA
rnacentral:lncRNA from 1 species